rnacentral:rRNA from 1 species
CGCCGCGUGAGGGAUGACGGCCUAUCGGGUUGUAAACCUCUUUCAGCAGGGACGAAGCGCAAGUGACGGUACCUGCAGAAGAAGCACCGGCCAACUACGUGCCAGCAGCCGCGGUAAGACGUAGGGUGCGAGCGUUGUCCGGAUUUAUUGGGCGUAAAGAGCUCGUAGGCGGCUUGUCGCGUCGACCGUGAAAACUUGGGGCUCAACCCCAAGCCUGCGGUCGAUACGGGCAGGCUAGAGUUCGGUAGGGGAGACUGGAAUUCCUGGUGUAGCGGUGAAAUGCGCAGAUAUCAGGAGGAACACCGGUGGCGAAGGCGGGUCUCUGGGCCGAUACUGACGCUGAGGAGCGAAAGCGUGGGGAGCGAACAGGAUUAGAUACCCUGGUAGUCCACGCUGUAAACGUUGGGCGCUAGGUGUGGGGGGCCCCUCCGGUUCUCUGUGCCGCAGCUAACGCAUUAAGCGCCCCGCCUGGGGAGUACGGCCGCAAGGCUAAAACUCAAAGGAAUUGACGGGGGGCCCGCACAAGCGGCGGAGCAACGCGGAUUAAAUCGAUGCAACGCGAAGAACCUUACCUGGGUUUGACAUGGCCGCAAAACUUCCAGAGAUGGGAAGUCCUUC